ensembl:misc_RNA Y_RNA Y RNA
GGUUGGUCCGAGUGCAGCAGUAUUCACAACUAAUUGAUCACAACCAGUUACAGAUUUCAUUGUUCCUUCUCCACUCCCACUGCUUCACUUGACUAGCCUAAA